CUCUGCUCCACCUGCAUCAAGACUGUGAACCAGUCACCAGGGCAACUAUGCUUAAACUAGCUUCCUGUGCUUUAAAGAAAGGUCAAAUUGGAGAUUAUCUUAACUAAACUACCUUAUUUUUAAGUUAGAACAGGUCUAUACAAGUAAAGGAGAAAAAAUACUCCACAUUCACUAAACCAUUUGGCUCAUCUCCAAGGAACAAACCAAGAUCAUUUCACAUAUGUGUUAGAGAGUGGACGCUCAGUAUUUAUUUAAACCUUCAAUACAGUGAAUAUUUAUGCUAUCCUUUGUUUUACUGGAGAUUAGAAGACUUACCUGUGUGGAUUCUCAGCUCAGAAACCUGUGGCAGGCUUGUGCCCAGGAGGCCCAUAAAUUCCACGGGAUCAAACAAAGGGACCACCAAGAGACCACUGUGUCUCUACAAAUUCUUUGGAGGAACAGACACUGUACUCACCAAUCCUUUUUGUGCCCUGAGGUCAAGAAUCGAAUGUCAGUUUCAGUUUCUUUGCCUAAAGUCUGAAGACUCUGGAUUUCAAAGUGACCACCAGGGGGACUUGCACAUAGUAUCUGCAAUGAAAACAGAGUAGACAUGAGCUGAACGGCUGCCCAAGAAAUCCAGGAGAACUGAAGCCAGCAGGCUACUCUGGCAGUAUACACAGAAAACUGAGGCUGUGUUAGAAGGAAACUGCUCCCCGCCACCCAAAAGGCAAUUAAAAGUCUCUGG
rnacentral:lncRNA from 1 species